rnacentral:rRNA from 1 species
AGUGAACGCUGGCGGCGUGCUUAACACAUGCAAGUCGAACGAGAACGGAAUAUAGCUUGCUAUAUUUGUCAGCUAAGUGGCGCACGGGUGAGUAAUGCAUAGAUAACCUGCCCUUAAGAAAGGAAUAACAGUUGGAAACGACUGCUAAUGCCCUAUAUGCCUUUAAUACAUAAGUAUGCAAGGGAAACGCUUUAGUGCUUAAGGAUGGGUCUGUAUGGUAUCAGCUUGUUGGUGAGGUAAUGGCUCACCAAGGCUAUGACGCCUAACUGGUUUGGGAGGAUGAUCAGUCACACUGGAACUGAGACACGGUCCAGACUCCUACGGGAGGCAGCAGUGGGGAAUAUUGCGCAAUGGACGAAAGUCUGAUGCAGCAACGCCGCGUGGAGGAUGACACAUUUCGGUGCGUAAACUCCUUUUAUAUAGGAAGAUAAUGACGGUACUAUAUGAAUAAGCACCGGCUAACUCCGUGCCAGCCGCCGCCGUAA